CGGACGGAAACGACAAGNAACAAUCCACUUCGGUGUGCGUUUUUGGGCGUCGAGUGGCGGACGGGUGAGUAACGCGUGGGAAUCUACCCUUUAGUUGGGGACAACAUAUGGAAACGUAUGCUAAUACCGAAUAUGCUCUACGGAGUAAAGGUGGCCUCUACUUGUAAGCUAUCGCUAAAGGAUGAGCCCGCGUUAGAUUAGCUAGUUGGUAAGGUAAAGGCUUACCAAGGCGACGAUCUAUAGCUGGUUUGAGAGGAUGAUCAGCCACACUGGGACUGAGACACGGCCCAGACUCCUACGGGAGGCAGCAGUGGGGAAUAUUGCACAAUGAGGGAAACCUUGAUGCAGCCAUGCCGCGUGUGUGAAGAAGGCCCGAGGGUUGUAAAGCACUUUCAAUUGUGAGGAAGAUUAAGUAGCUAAUACCUGCUUAGUUUGACGUUAACUUUAGAAGAAGCACCGGCUAACUCUGUGCCAGCAGCCGCGGUAAUACAGAGGGUGCAAGCGUUAUUCGGAAUUACUGGGCGUAAAGCGCGCGUAGGCGGACUGUUAAGUCGGUUGUGAAAGCCCUGGGCUCAACCUAGGAACUGCAUCCGA
rnacentral:rRNA from 2 species